UCUACUUGCCGUCUAUCUCUUCAAAACGUCCUACUUCAACAAGUUUGCAAAAUCGUUGCUUCUUACCCUAAUCCUUCUAUGAUUUUUUCACAAGCAGAGAGUCAGCAAAACAUUUAUAAGCUGAGAGAUCAUUGAUUCAGAAACAAUGAAGCCAGGAUCAAAGGGAGUUUCCAAGCCUCACACAUACUCUCAUGGCAUUAAUUCCAGCAAUUCUAAGCUGAAAAAAACUGGUUCCUGUUUUGACUUCACUAAACUAUCGGAGGCCCUGAAUGUUUCACAGCAAAAGGGUACAGUUCUAGACAAUAUUAAUUCUUCUUCUUCAUUUUCUGAUGCCAUUAAUAAAGCUGCCAACAAGAAAGGGACUACUACUAUUGCUUCUGCUUCUUCAACUUAUGACUUGAGUAGUCUCUCGGAGACACUGCAUGACAUUCAAGAGGAAAAGAAGAAAGAGCGAUUCCGUGCAGGCUCGAUGAGAUAUAAGGCUUAUUUUCAACGGCUUUUAAGGGGUAUGUAUACUAAAUCUGAGAUCACACCGCGUGGAGCUGAGCAAACAAAGCUACUUUUUGCAGUUUCAUUAAAAAGUGAAAAUUGCCUUAGAAGAUGUAACUCACAGUGAGAGGUUGGCUAAUACUAUUGCCCUUCUUUUUGAUUGCACGUACAGAUUUACUGUAUAAUCUUGGUUUUCCUUUCAGUGUAAAGAUUGGUUCUUUUUUUUU